rnacentral:rRNA from 1 species
UUUUAGGGUUUUGGAUCUGGCUCAGGACGAACGCUAGCGGCGUGCUUAACACAUGCAAGUCGAGCGGUAAGGCCCUUCGGGGUACACGAGCGGCGAACGGGUGAGUAACACGUGGGUGAUCUGCCUUGCACUUCGGGAUAAGCCUGGGAAACUGGGUCUAAUACCGGAUAUGACCACUGAUCGCAUGGUUAGUGGUGGAAAGAUUUAUCGGUGCGAGAUGGGCCCGCGGCCUAUCAGCUUGUUGGUGAGGUAACGGCUCACCAAGGCGACGACGGGUAGCCGACCUGAGAGGGUGACCGGCCACACUGGGACUGAGACACGGCCCAGACUCCUACGGGAGGCAGCAGUGGGGAAUAUUGCACAAUGGGCGAAAGCCUGAUGCAGCGACGCCGCGUGCGGGAUGACGGCCUUCGGGUUGUAAACCGCUUUUGACAGGGACGAAGCGCAAGUGACUGUACCUGUAGAAUAAGGACCGGCCAACUACGUGCCAGCAGCCGCGGUAAUACGUAGGGUCCGAGCGUUGUCCGGAAUUACUGGGCGUAAAGAGCUUGUAGGCGGUUCGUCGCGUCGUUUGUGAAAACUUGGGGCUCAACCUUAAGCUUGCAGGCGAUACGGGCGGACUAGAGUACUUCAGGGGAGACUGGAAUUCCUGGUGUAGCGGUGAAAUGCGCAGAUAUCAGGAGGAACACCGGUGGCGAAGGCGGGUCUCUGGGAAGUAACUGACGCUGAGAAGCGAAAGCAUGGGUAGCAAACAGGAUUAGAUACCCUGGUAGUCCAUGCCGUAAACGGUGGGUACUAGGUGUGGGGCUCCUUCCACGGACUCCGUGCCGUAGCUAACGCAUUAAGUACCCCGCGUGGGAGACCGCCGACGGCC